ensembl:lncRNA
UUAGUAACUGUCCAUUAGGGAGUUAGGUCUUGAUUUAACCAGCAGUAGUUGCUAUCAAAGACAGAUCACUAAAACAGAUGGAAUAUUGCUCUGAUUGUGUGUGGCUUUUCCUUUGUUGCAGUGAUGGGCUGCUCCCUGGCUUUCUCACACAAUUGCAAACAGCACAUCAAGAAAAAUCAAAGUGAGCAUCAAACAAUUAUCUGUCAUUUCUUGCUCUUAGUCCCUCUUUCCCUUUUGAAAAUUGAUAUUUAGUUAGGAUUGCGGUGCAGAGCAUAGUCCUCAAGGUCUGCAGCCAAAGGGGCUUUAUGUUACUAAGAGGAGGAAAAUGACUCAUGGAUCCCUAAAGUAUUUCUCUUCCUUCUUUUGUAUUGCAGAGAGCCAGCUGGGCACCUAACUUAAGGUGACUGCAGCAGAGCCAAUAGCUCUGACAGUAACUGAAGAACAGAUGCAGAUCCCUGACCAGAGAAAGGUCCCAGACCCCUGCACGUGGAAGGUCACAGGUCCUGCUUUCAGUCAGAUCCAUUGCAGUGUGAUUUCCAUGACUCAAAAAGAAAAACAACCAAGCACUGCUAUAUCCAGCUGGUGUAAAUACAGUGCAGUUGAUCUAGUGUAACCAAACAGCUCAAGAUCCAACAACUGAUAACAAGGAGAAUUGCUGUGGGAGCAUUUCAGAGUAACAUAGAUGUCAGAGGCUGAUGUUGAGCCUGGAACCAGCCCAACUGCAAGGAAUGGGACCCUCAGAGGCUGUCCUUGCCUAUCUCACCUGUGCAGCAAUGUGAUUGCUUGGAGCGGAUUAUUUAAGAACUAACUCUAUGUGAUCAAACAUAUGGCAGAAAUCACUCAUGCCUUGACUGUGUUUUACAUGCACCUGAAGUGGUCAGAAGAAACUCAUUCAGCUGUGGCUGUCUCAGCAAUAAGGAAGAAUAGUUAUAUGAGGGCUGCUCUGUAAGUAAUGCCUCCUAUGUUAUUAUGUUUGUGCAUGAUGUUAGAAGCAGAUGUUGGUGUUAUGGCAGUAGAGAUUGAACCUUCCCACCAAUAUUCCAUUACAUAUUGUUUCUGUGUGACAAAUGGCAGUCUGACAAAAUGGUGUCUGACAUGGAAGCACAUAUGAAGCAAAGGUGUGUCACUGAAUUCCUCCACGUGGAAAAAAUGGCACCUUUGACAUUCAGUGAUGCUUGCUGAGCAUUGAUGGAGAGCAAACAGUGGAUGUGAGCACAGUGAGGCGGGGUGUGGUGUGUUUCAGCAACAGUGACAGCGAUAUGAGAGACAAGCCACAUUCUGGACAGCCAUGCACAGCUGUCAUACAAUGAAAUGAAGAACAUCUUCAUCAGCUCACUCGCACAAAUUGGCUAAUGGUGGCGACUAUGUUGAAAACUAGCGUUUUGCAGCUGAGAAUUGGCUCUAUCACAUAGUGUUAUUGUGCUCUUUGUAGCUGUUGUAGUUUCCGUGGAAUUAAAUAGGAGGUACUGCUUUUGAAGCUAGCUAUAUGGCUUUAGGAUCAACCUGAAAUAUGCAUGAAGUGUGGAGUCGUAAUUACAAGGAUAGGUUAUGGUGUCCUUUGAGUGUAGAAAUCCUGCCCAUGGGAUCUGAACUGUUAAUGAAAUCUGUGACUCUCUGAAAGAAAUUUUCAGAGUUGUUUCAGUGUACUCUCAGCACUGUAGAAAAUAAAAAUUGAUGAAUUUGAAGGUGAAAUUUAAUC